GCCCACGCUCCCCGGCCACCCAGGUCUGGUCUCCGCGCAGCUGAUAGAUAUGUUUUGACAAGUUCUAUUAAGUACAAAGACGGCCACAGGGCAACAUGUGGAGUUGAUAGAGAGCGAGGCGGGAAGGCAGAUCGCGGUGUGAGGGCUGCCAGCGCUGACGGAAUUGGCCGCAGUGAACUGCGUGCGUGCCUCUCUUCAUCGCUACCAAAUUUCAGCGCGGGCGUUGGCACCCACGACGCUGAGGAGGGCGAGUCUCCCCUCAGUUUCUCUUUCUGUCUGCGGAUUGCCAGCAAAUCAAGGAUUUUGCAGAAGUCUAAGUGGCUGCUUUUAUCUACACGGAAUUGCCAUCAGGUGCCAAGGGAAGAAGCCCGUCCCUGUCAUUGGUGUGGGCCGUAGCCCCUCCCUGAGCCCCUCCCAGGACCCGGGAGCAGAGCUGGCACCAACACCUGGGCCGACUGCUCUCGCCUCUCUCACCGUCUCAAGUGUGGCUGCGUCACCCUCCAGAGCUCUCCUAAACAAGGCACUAAACAGAAGGAGGCCAGCAUAUAGUUAAGUAGCAGCCCUCGGAUGAUGGAGAUUAAUGAAGAGGGCGUGGUGGCCAACUAGAAGGUGCCUCCUGGUCUCUGGACAGCUCAGAGGAAUUGGUAAGCACCUGUGAGUGACAGGAUGAAGAUUCAUGGUGGAUGCAGAAAUAACCAUUCACCAAACUGUCGAAAGAUUUUCUUCGUAUGUUUAUUUGCCAUUGGUAUAUUUUCUUUGACUAAGUGUCCACCCAAGCCUUUUUGCACAUUCAUUGAGCUCUUCAUCUUCUUAUUACAAAGUUUGUUGAGAUUUUUAAUAAGAUACAUAUUUUACAUUUUUCAGUUAUCUUUCAAUAUUUA